rnacentral:rRNA from 1 species
CCAUCCUAAGGUAGCGAAAUUCCUUGUCGGGUAAGUUCCGACCUGCACGAAUGGAGUAACGACUUCCCUACUGUCUCAACCAUGAACUCGGCGAAAUUGCAGUACGAGUAAAGAUGCUCGUUUCGCGCAGCAGGACGGAAAGACCCCGUGACCUUUACUAUAGUUUGGUAUUGGUGUUUGGUUUGGCUUGUGUAGGAUAGGUGGGAGACUGUGAAGCAUGGACGCUAGUUUGUGUGGAGUCGUUGUUGAAAUACCACUCUGGUCAAUCUGGAUGUCUAACUUCGGGCCAUGAUCUGGUUCAGGGACAGUGCCUGAUGGGUAGUUUAACUGGGGCGGUUGCCUCCUAAAGUGUAACGGAGGCGCCCAAAGGUUCCCUCAGCCUGGUUGGCAAUCAGGUGUUGAGUGUAAGUGCACAAGGGAGCUUGACUGUGAGACUGGCAGGUCGAGCAGGGACGAAAGUCGGGACUAGUGAUCCGGCGGUACGUUGUGGAACGGCCGUCGCUCAACGGAUAAAAGGUACCUCGGGGAUAACAGGCUGAUCUUGCCCAAGAGUCCAUAUCGACGGCAUGGUUUGGCACCUCGAUGUCGGCUCGUCGCAUCCUGGGGCUGGAGUCGGUCCCAAGGGUUGGGCUGUUCGCCCAUUAAAGCGGUACGCGAGCUGGGUUCAGAACGUCGUGAGACAGUUCGGUCCCUAUCCGCUGCGCGCGUUGGAAAUUUGAGAAAGGCUGUCCUUAGUACGAGAGGACCGGGACGGACGAACCUCUGGUAUGUCAGUUGUACCGCCAGGUGCAUGGCUGAUUGGCUACGUUCGGGAGGGAUAACCGCUGAAAGCAUCUAAGCGGGAAGCCUGUUUCGAGAUGAGAUUUCCUGGCACUUUUGGUGUGUGAGGCUCCUUAUAGAUGAUGAGGUUGAUAGGCCGGGUAUGGAAGCGGGGACUGAAGACUCGUGGAGUUGACUGGUACUAAUAGGCCGAAGGCUUACUUU